GUUUGAUCCUGGCUCAGAUUGAACGCUGGCGGCAUGCCUUACACAUGCAAGUCGAACGGUAACAGGUCUUCGGAUGCUGACGAGUGGCGAACGGGUGAGUAAUACAUCGGAACGUGCCCGAUCGUGGGGGAUAACGAAGCGAAAGCUUUGCUAAUACCGCAUACGAUCUACGGAUGAAAGCAGGGGACCGCAAGGCCUUGCGCGAACGGAGCGGCCGAUGGCAGAUUAGGUAGUUGGUGGGAUAAAAGCUUACCAAGCCGACGAUCUGUAGCUGGUCUGAGAGGACGACCAGCCACACUGGGACUGAGACACGGCCCAGACUCCUACGGGAGGCAGCAGUGGGGAAUUUUGGACAAUGGGCGAAAGCCUGAUCCAGCCAUGCCGCGUGCAGGAUGAAGGCCUUCGGGUUGUAAACUGCUUUUGUACGGAACGAAAAGACUCUGGUUAAUACCUGGGGUCCAUGACGGUACCGUAAGAAUAAGCACCGGCUAACUACGUGCCAGCAGCCGCGGUAAUACGUAGGGUGCAAGCGUUAAUCGGAAUUACUGGGCGUAAAGCGUGCGCAGGCGGUUAUAUAAGACAGAUGUGAAAUCCCCGGGCUCAACCUGGGAACUGCAUUUGUGACUGUAUAGCUAGAGUACGGCAGAGGGG
rnacentral:rRNA from 1 species